rnacentral:lncRNA from 1 species
UAGCAAUAAUAACUCGUUAGGCCCAAACAACCAGCCCAAAAUGCUUAAGCCCAAUUAUUAUUACUAGAGUGUAGGCCUCAUAUAAACUGAUCGGAAUCAGUAUCUUAUCUGAUGUGAGACUAUUGGGGCGUUACAAACUCCCCAUGUUUAAACCCUGACGUCCUCGUCGGGUCCUAACUAGAUCACAGAUAGACAGAACAGGAUCAGAAUUACCAGGCAAUGUGAGAUUCCAGAUGUGGCUUUUACGGGUUCAAGAGGUGGCUCCCACCAAACCCAUUGGUGUAGCACUUUGUCGAACAUAGUACUUAGCUCUCACACUUCCGGUUGGUAUUCGGCUUUGAUACCAAUUGCAACGACCCGACCCGCUAGCAAUAAUAACUCGUUAGGCCCAAACAACCGGCCAAAAAUGCUUAAGCCCAAUUAUUAUUACUGGCGUGUAGGCCUCAUAUAAACUGAUCGGAAUCAGUAUCUCAUCCGAUGUGGUACUAUUGGGGCGUUAUAAUGGGCAUUUCACCUUUGCCCUAAUCCAACAACAAUUACCCUAUUUUUUCACUCUCUCCUCUCUCUGUCUCUAGACGAAAUGGAGAAUCAUUUCUUCUA